UGGGGAAUAUUGGACAAUGGGCGCAAGCCUGAUCCAGCCAUGCCGCGUGUGUGAAGAAGGCUUUCGGGUUGUAAAGCACUUUCAGCGAGGAGGAAGGCCUUAAGACUAAUACUCUUAAGGAUUGACGUUACUCGCAGAAGAAGCACCGGCUAACUCCGUGCCAGCAGCCGCGGUAAUACGGAGGGUGCAAGCGUUAAUCGGAAUUACUGGGCGUAAAGCGCGCGUAGGUGGUUAGGUAAGCGAGAUGUGAAAGCCCCGGGCUCAACCUGGGAAUGGCAUUUCGAACUGCUUGGCUAGAGUGUGGUAGAGGGUAGUGGAAUUUCCUGUGUAGCGGUGAAAUGCGUAGAUAUAGGAAGGAACACCAGUGGCGAAGGCGGCUACCUGGACCAACACUGACACUGAGGUGCGAAAGCGUGGGGAGCAAACA
rnacentral:rRNA from 1 species